GGUGUCUUAAAGGUGGCUGGUUUUUAUAGCUGGCACGGGUGAAGAUUCUGGCCUUCAUGUCCAAUCAUCAAUUUUAUGGCAGUGAUGAAUGCUAUUUCAGCACAAUACAAUGCCUGUAGCUGGCAUUGGGACCAUGUUUUGUAAUGAGUUGGUUUGCAUAUGAUGCCUGCCAUUUCUGACCUUGAUUCAACUAAAGAAAAAGUCCAGCUGCUGUUAGGGUAAGACCUUGGCAAUUACCCUCUCCACCACAAACCCCACAGUCCCUUUG